CUGUGCCAUGCCCCGCGCUGGCCCUGGGGAGGUGUUUGCUGGAUAAACAGCUGCCCCCCGGGGCCCAGGCCGCAGUGCUCCUUCGCCACCGUGUCUCCAGCAUCACCCCUUCUCCUCUGAGACCUCUUCCCAGGCCACAGUAAGGGAGCCCCAAGCCAAGGAGAGGGCGUGCCCAGCUUAAAGGAAACUGACCUUGGCCCUGCCCUACCCCGCCCCACUCUGGGCCGGGAUACAUCGCUGCCGACCCGGAGCCGGAGCCCAGGACCAGCGGGCACCAGGCCCCUGCGCCGCAGUGGCGGGGUCAGAGCGGCAGGACUGGGUGGCUGGUGACAGGUGGGACUAGCGCGGGACCACUUGCCUCUCGAGCCGAGCCCCGCCCCUGCCCCACAGCUCCAUUUUCUUCUUGUUCCUUUCAGGGCUGCCAGGCUGCCCCAAGCCGGAGUCUGUUCCCCGACGGCCGAGGCUCCCGCUGGCUGGCAGCUCCCCAGGCGUGUGGGUUUGAUUCCCAACGGCGCCCAGCCCAGGGCAAGGCGGCUGGGGGAAGGCCACGCCACGGAUGAACCCAAGGCCGAACUCCUGUUUUUCUAAAUACCUUUUCCGGGGCCCACGAGGUCCCUCUCAGAAGCCUGAAGGUCCUGUGGGUUCUGUCUCCUCUUGGGGGGCUGUGAUCCUAACUGGACCCCCGUUUUGGGUCCCUGCUCAUGCGCACCCCUGAUCUCAAGAGGCAGAUAGAAGAUCUAAUGACGUACCUGCCUAAGCCCGGCAAGGAGGGGAGGGUUCCAUUCGGAGUCCAGUGCCCCGCCCUGAGAAACGGGCGCUCAGGAGGGCGCCCCUCAGGCAGUGGUGGGGAGGCGCGCCCCCUUCUCCACUAGGGCGUGACCUGGCACGGGGUGGGGAGGGAGUCAGGCCUGGGUGCCACAAAUACAGUGCGUUUAAGUCUUGUUCAGGGACCCAGGGAGAAACUCCUUCAUUUCUCUAGACACCAGGGGCCCUGAAGGAGGCCGCUGGCAAGGAAACAUGGACCCGGCUCCAGCCCAGCUACUGGAAGACCUUUCUGGAAUCGGGAGAAGACGCACCUCGGACUUGGGAGCUGAUCCUUCUUUCAAUUCCUGAUUCUGCCACCUCUUGCUAAGGAUUUCAGGCUAGUUACUUAACUUCUCUUAAACCAGCAUUAUCAAUCUGUAUAAUGUGGUAGUGAUACCACAUUGCAGGGUUGAUGGGAGGGUUAAAUUAGACGUUUAAAGUUUUAAACAGUGUCUGUACGUGGAAACCCUUGAUAAAUGGGAGCUAAUGUUUUGCUAGCUCAAUGCUGGUUCCCACGCGGGAGGCCAGUCUACCCAAGCAGAAAAUGCCUGGGGCUGUAUUAAUUAAGGCCUAAGGUUCAGAGUAAGGGAGGUGACAGUCUUGCCCUACUAGGGGUUCAUCGUGGCCUGACUAGAUGAACUGUCUUGGGACUAACACCUCAUACUGCCACCCUUCCCUCCACACUCCAGGGCUUCCUUCCUUCGAGUCUAAACAUUUUCCUGUCUCAGGAGUUGUUCCCAUUACCCUGUAUUUACUCAGUGAGCAUGGGACACCAUGCAGUGAGUGUCAGGACAGCUGGUGGAUGGGACCAUGGAGCCACCGGAGCCAUUUUCCAGAGUUUCUGUUGAGUCCACCCACAUAAGCCUUGCUUAUGCAGGUACAUGAUUAGAUCUUCUAUCUGUCUAUAGGAUAAGGGACACUUGUAUGCAACUCCCAAGGAACUUUAACAACUUGGAGUGCCCGUGCAGGAUGGCAAAGGGUCUGGGAUCCCCUGGGGCAAGGAGAAGGCAGGACAAGAGAGAAGCUUGCAGAAGGAGGUGGUUGGAGGAAGAGGAAGCAGGCCCAGGGCCAGUACUGCAAAUUACCAGGGAAGGACAGGUGGAGACACUUUCUUUCUUUUUUUUUUUUUUUUUGAGACAGAGUCUCUGUCACCCAGGCUACAGUGCAGUGGCACCGUCUCGGCUCACUGCAACCUCCGACUUCUGGGUUUACGCCAUUCUCCUGCCUCAGCCUCCUGAGUAGCUGGGACUACAGGCGCCCACCACCAUGCCCGGCUAAUUUUUUAUAUUUUUAGUAGAGACGGGGUUUCACCGUGUUAGCCAGAAUGGUCUCGAUUUCCUGACCUCAUGAUCCACCCGCUUUGGCCUCCCAAAGUGCUGUGAUUACAGGCGUGAGCCACCGCACCCAGCCGAGACACUUUCUAACAACCCGCCCUGAAAGAUCCUGAUCCCGGACAAAGGAAGAGACUGAGGAGGCCUCCUGCUGGGUGGGUGGCAUGGACGACAGUUUUGGGUUCACUUCUGGGUUCUUUCCUCCUCUGAUAGGCUGGGCUUCUUGGCACAGGGACACCAUCUUUGGGGUUCAAUUCCCUGCCUUCCCAGAGAGCACUGGACUCCUGGACAAAUCAUACUGGCUUCUGUGAGCUCCUUGUAGGGCAGGGUCCACUAGGAUCCCCAUAUCUACCUCCUCCAUAUCUGAGCAGAGGUGGUUAUAAUGGUUAAUUUUAUGUGUCAACAUGACUGGGCCAGGGGGUACCCAGACAUUUGGGCAAACCGAUUAUUUUGGGUGUGCCUGUGAGGGUGCUUUUGGAUGAAUUUGACAUUGGAACUGGUGACCAAUGGGGGAACCAGGUGGGGUAAAGCAGAUCCCCCUCCCCAAUGUGGGGGUCCUCAUCCACUCAGCUGAAGGCCUGAAUAGGACAAAAGCCUGAGAAUUUGUUCUUUGCCUCACAGUCUUGAGCUGGGACAUUGGCCUCCUCCUCCCUUAAGAUUCAGACUGGAACUACACCAUUAGCUCUCCUGGGUCCCCAGCUUGCUGACCUCUGUCUACAGGGGACAGGGCUGCUUGUCUCCUUGGGACCUCUCAGCCUCCAUAAUCACGUAUAAGCCAAUUCCUUAUGAUAAAUACAUCUAUCUAACCAUCCAUUCGCCUACCCAUUCAUCCAUCCAUCCAUCCAUCCAUCCAUCCAUCCAUCCACCCACCCGCCCAC
rnacentral:lncRNA from 1 species